CCACAACCGCGCGCGGCAUAUUUUAACUCAGGCAGGCCGCCAUUAAUAAACCCUUCUUAAUUCCCCGACAGACCAGCGAAGUCCCACCGCUGGCUCAGCUUCACCGGGAAAAAGAAAAAGGGUCGCGCCUUUGAACGUGAAUUCAAGAGUUACAGCAGCACAAAAGGAAACAACUUUAAUAAGGCCCCCCCUUGAAUUGAGAUUUGGAAGAAAGAACGGGAAUUUCCUCGACCUUGUAUGGGAAAAUCCCUCCCGAGGGAAUUGAGUCAGAUAGUUAAGCAAGCCGCAAAAGCAUCCCAAUCUGCGAAACCCGCAAAACCCACAAAGCCCGUCACGCCAUCAUCAGUACAGAAAGCGCAGGGGAGAGGUCGGGGGCUGUUGAAGGAGAUGGAGAGCAGCGGCUCCGCCGACAACGAGGGGAGACUCAGGUUGCCGCUGUCGGAGGUGGUGUCGGAGUGCGUGAAACGUUGGUUCAAGGACACGCUCAAGGAGGCCAAGGCUGGGGACAUCAACAUGCAGGUCUUAGUGUGUCAGAUGUAUCACAGCGGCUAUGGCGUCCCCCGAGAUGCCCAGAAGGGAAGAGCAUGGAUGACAAGAGCUUCGAGGGUCCGCCCUUCAGUUUGGAAAGUUAGCGAUAAGCGUCCAGGUUAUAAUGCUAGCGACUCGGAUUCAGAUGACUUGAAGGGUGAUUCAUGAUUGCAGAAGACUUACUUGACAGAUCAGUUGAUGAACAAUGCCGAGAAUCAUGUGCCUAUCGCACUUAGAUCUGCAUCGACCUCUAAUAUCCUUCGGAACCGCUUCCAUUGCGAAUCAACCUGUAAUGAUCCUCAUAGUCCUCACUGCGUCGAGCUUCAGCUUCACCCUAUGCUUAAUUAUGAUGUAGUUUGCCAUACUUUAGUUAUUUUUAAACGACAAAAAGAAGGGCAGGACAUCCUCCGCAGUUUCUUUGUUAAGGGAGUAUCUGGUCUCUUUUUGUCGAGUCCAACGUGGGUUUUCUGAGGCUGUUCUUUUUUACUGGAUUGGAAUAACUGUGAAUUUUCUGGUUUCAGAAAUUGCACAAUCUUUUUCUCUCCUUUCUCUCGUUUCUUUGGCCUGUAGAAAGACGGAUCUCAUUUAGUAAAAGGGGUUCAUCAUCCUGACCUGUAAACUUUAGUAA